UACGGAGGGUGCAAGCGUUAUUCGGAAUUACUGGGCGUAAAGAGCGCGUAGGUGGCUUAUUAAGUCUGAUGUGAAAUCCCUGGACUCAAUCUAGGAAGUGCAUUGGAUACUGAUAAGCUAGAGUGCAGGAGAGGAGAGCGGAAUUCCAGGUGUAGAGGUGAAAUUCGUAGAUAUCUGGAGGAACAACAGAGGCGAAGGCGGCUCUCUGGACUGUAACUGACACUGAGGCGCGACAGCGUGGGGAGCAAACAGG
rnacentral:rRNA from 1 species